ACUAAUAUCUGCUUCAACAGAUUUAAUUAGUGCCCAUGCUUAUAGAAGAAGUAUGGUAGUAUUUUAUUCUAAAUAAACAUAUCAUGACUCAUUUGCUGCAAAAACUUCCUGGUACAGCAAACCAAAACGAAACCAAGCACCUACAACCUACAGCUCUUCUAGGAGGAUCUUGUUCACAUGGCUGUGAACAUACACAACACCCUGAAUCAGGAGAAGGCACUUGUUUCGCAAGGUAAAACUCGCUCAUCACAGGGAGGUACGACGGAACAAGAAAAAGAGUUGGACGUAAAAGCAAACAUCUUAAAGAAGAGUGUGCAGGAAAUAGAACAGGACAUUCAUGUUUUGAAAGAUCUGCAGUACGAGUAUGACUUCAAGAGAAAGCCUUCAGAGGGUCAAAGUAAAAUGAGAGAAUUAUAACUAUUUCUGCUCUUUAAAAAAUAAUAGAUAUCAAUCAAAUGACAAAGCAAAAACAUAUAUACAGUCUAUCUAUCUAGGCAUAUCUAUCUAAACUUAGAAUAUGGGGCACUUGAAAUAUGAAAGACCUUAAUCUUUAUGAUUUAUUUUGAAGAAAUGUUUUAUAGAGGACAGUUUCGAGGACAUUAUUCUUCAUAUUUUCAUUUGAGGAUGAAACAAAGGGUCAUACAACAAAAGAGAGUCAACAGGAGGAAAUGGCCACUGUACAAAUGUUUACUGACCUACACAUAAAAAGAAAGAUGGUGAUGAAAGAAACUGCUAAUGCACUGACUCUAGCCGAGCAGAUCCAGCUCACACUCAUAUCAGAAGAGUUACCUGAGUGGAAGAAGAGACAGCAGCAGAGGGCUUGCAUCGGCGGGCCACACAACACUGAAGCAGCUGCAAUGCUGGUGAGAACCUCUAGCAGGCGCUGUUGAUACUAUUUCCUGGACAGAAAAUAGCCUUAUGACAAACAAAAAAAAGAACAAUUAUUAUAAUGUUUUUGUAGCAUUUACUCACUCACAUGUUUUGAAAAGGGUGACUUUCUGAAGGACAUUCACAUCCAAAAAGGUUUUUCUGAGAUGGAUACAGUGAAAGGGUACGUAACAUAUUACAUUAACCCAAAGAGCACAGAUAAAUGCUAAUUAUAAUUACUGAAUUAGCUCAUAAUUACAAAUACAUAUAUAGAGCAAUACAUUUAGUUUUGUAUGCUUGUCAGAGGUCCUCACUGAUGCAACGAAUUGUUAUGUAACGUCCAGAUGUAGAAAUUUCCUUCUCUUAGGUAUUGUUAACAAAGUUAUGACUUUGGAUGAAUCUAGUGGAUGUCUAGCCGCUGAUUUCCGUCAUUUGACUGCAAGGGAGAAGAGACCUAGCAACAGAAGUAAAGAGUUUUCACUCAAUAUGUAUGAGGAGCUGCACUUAAUCAGCUUUGACACGCAGCUCAUUCUGCAUUGAUUUAUCGCAUCGGAUAACAUGUUCAAACAGAUCACAUGUCUUCCUGUGGUGAUGUUGGUCAGUGGAUGGCUACCUAGUGCCUGGGGCUCCACCUUAUGGUACAACAUGCUCUGCAGUGAACCCCACAAUCUGUUGUUCUUCUUGAAUCCUCCACCUGUGAAAUGGGGGCAGCUUUCAAAGGUCUUAAGCUGGCAGUUUUCUUCUGCCACUAAACGAGCGCUGAACUCUGAGCAGCUGAGAACGCUUGCAGACAGAGUUCUUGGUGUGCUUGUUUGUGCUCUCUUUUGCCUCUUGAAGUGGAACUGAGUAGAUGCUCAUAGUUAAAUGAAUAGCACGUUUCUUUUUUAAAACAUUUAAGGUCGAGAAGCCCAAGGUAACCCUGAAGGACUCAUUCAUUGGAAUACAUUUUAUAAAGUGAGUUUAUACAAAUGAUCGAAACAAAGGCAGGAAAAGCUGCUUUCGAUUUCCUGAACAAGUUCGCUUUUGUUUGUUCCUCCGGCGUCACCACAUGAUUUACUGCUAAAACAAAACUUAGUGAGAACAUGAUACUGCAAAGAGCAAACAUUAAAUAUUUUAAUAGUAGGCGUGAUUCUUUGUGGUGUGAAAUAACAUGAUAAAUGACAGUGAAAGCAGUAUUUUUUUUAUAAUCACACUAUAUUGUGUAGAAUAACUUUUGUGUUUUCAUCUAGGUGUCUGCCGAGUCUGGGGAUUCAUUCUGGCAGUGCAUAUGCAAACAUUUGGACAUUACUGAAAAAUAUGUGCUCAACAUUUGGAAUGAUGGGUACAUUAUGGGGUUUUUGAGUAAGGAGAGAGAGAUGGCUUUGUUGAGUGAAAAGCUCCCCGGCACUUUCCUUCUGCGCUUCAGUGAAAACUCUCGAUGGGGAGGAAUCAUCAUCACAUGGGUGGAAUGUUCAAAGGAUGGUGUGUGCUGGUUUGAACUCGAAUAUUUCAUGUUGUGAUAACUAUCUUGGUGUGUCUAAAAAAAAAUCUCUUAUGAGAUUAUCAUGUCAGCACAGGUGGUGAACCUGUGGUGCAACAUCUCUUUACCGAACAUCACUCAUGACUAUACCAUCACUGAUGGAGAGAAGGAUCCAGUGAAUCCCCUCAUCUACCUUUACCCAGACAUCCCACGAGAUGUUGACUUUGUUCGAUACUAUACCAGUGCAUCUGAUGGUAAAGAUUUUACGUUUACAUUUAUGCAUUUCAUAUUUGUAAUGAGCCAUUACUGACCAUUGAUCUCACAGUUGAACUGACUUACACAAUAAAGAAAAUAAGUUAAGAAUUAGUUUUACGAAGCCAUAAUUUCCCAGUUCGUCCCAUUAGGAAAUUAAUAACAAGCGAAUAAAAUAACGCAACAAAAAAAAAAAAAAAAAAAAAAACCAAAUAAUAAAGUGGAAAAUGCUAUUUUACAUGCAUCUGUUCUGAGACUCUUAUGUGUUUGUGCUUUUGUCCUGGUAUUUGCACACCAUCAGGACAUUUGGAAUACAGUUAAAUUCUGUUCUCUUUUAGAUGUAGGAGGGAUAAAUGAAGACUGACUUUUUGUUUUGAAAAUGAAGACCACGGGUUGGACAUGAUUGAGCGUGUUCUGUCAGACUCAUCAGAUCUAGAGGACUUAGGUUUUGAACUGGUAGAGAAUGAGGGUAGAAAUGCAAAUGUGUUUGAUUCCCAGAUAACUGAUAAAAUGUAUACCUUGAAUGCAUUGUAAGUUGUUUUAGAUAAAAUGCAUAAUUGCAUACACACAUAUUUUGGUGUAUAACUCAUCCUGCACUUUGAA